GUAGUCUCGCACAGAUGCAUAUCAAUAAGCGGAGGAAAAGAAACUAACAAGGAUUCCCUUAGUAACGGCGAGUGAAGCGGGAAGAGCUCAAAUUUGAAAUCUUCAAGGUUUUACCUUGACGAAUUGUAGUUUAAAGAAGCGUUUUCUGUUGAAGUUUUGGUAAAAGUUCUUUGGAAUAGGACAUCAUAGAGGGUGAGAAUCCCGUAUUUGACCAUUACUUUCAGCUGUGUGAUACACUUUCAAAGAGUCGGAUUGUUUGGGAAUGCAGUCCAAAAUGGGUGGUAAAUUUCAUCUAAAGCUAAAUAUUGGCGAGAGACCGAUAGCGAACAAGUACCGUGAGGGAAAGAUGAAAAGAACUUUGAAAAGAGAGUUAAACAGUACGUGAAAUUGUCAAAAGGGAAGCGUUUGACACCAGUGUUGUUUUCUCGAAAAUCAAUUAAAAAGAGUUUGAUUUUGUUGUGUAUUGACCUUAACAGCUUGCAUUUCAAUUUUCUUGCUUUUUUUAAUGCACUUUUCGUUUAACAAGUCAACAUCAGUUUCUUUUGUUGUAAAAAGGUCAUUGGAAGGUGGCUUUCUUUUCGGAGAAAGUGUUUAUAGCCUUUGACUCCUGCAAUCGGAGAGACUGAGGUCUGCAGCGUAGAUCCUUCGGGGUUAGAUACAUUUGUGCUAAGUUAUAGCUUUUUAUAGACAACUUGUUGACUAUGAUUAGGUCUUGUAGCUUACUCGCUUAUGCUAUUUUACCUACGCUUAGGAUGUUGAGCGCAUGUCUCUCUCU
rnacentral:rRNA from 1 species